rnacentral:rRNA from 1 species
AUUGAACGCUGGCGGCGUGCUUAACACAUGCAAGUCGAGCGGUAGCAGGCGUAGCAAUACGUGCUGACGAGCGGCGAACGGGUGAGUAAUGCUUCGGAAUCUUCCUAGUAGUGGGGAACAACCUGGGGAAACUCAGGCUAAUACCGCAUACGACCUACGGGUGAAAGCAGGGGAUCGCAAGACCUUGCGCUAUUAGAUGAGCCGAAGUCGGAUUAGCUAGUUGGUGAGGUAAAGGCUCACCAAGGCGACGAUCCGUAGCUGGUCUGAGAGGACGACCAGCCACACUGGAACUGAGACACGGUCCAGACUCCUACGGGAGGCAGCAGUGGGGAAUAUUGGACAAUGGGGGCAACCCUGAUCCAGCGACGCCGCGUGUGUGAAGAAGGCCUGCGGGUUGUAAAGCACUUUUAGUGGGGACAAAAAGCACAGGGCUAAUACGCUUGUGUCUUGAUUUAACCCAAAGAAAAAGCACCGGCUAACUCUGUG